rnacentral:rRNA from 1 species
CCUACGGGUGGCAGCAGUCGAGAAUCAUUCACAAUGGGGGAAACCCUGAUGGCGCGACGCCGCGUGGGGGAAUGAAGGUCUACGGAUUGUAAACCCCUGUCAUGUGGGAGCAAAUUAAAAAGAUAGUACCACAAGAGGAAGAGACGGCUAACUCUGUGCCAGCAGCCGCGGUAAUACAGAGGGCUCAAGCGUUGUUCGGAAUCACUGGGCGUAAAGAGUGCGUAGGCUGUUUCGUAAGUCGUGUGUGAAAGGCGCGGGACCAACCCGCGGACGGCACAUGAUACUGCGAGACUAGAGUAAUGGAGGGGGAACCGGAAUUCUCGGUGUAGCAGUGAAAUGCGUAGAUAUCGGGAGGAACACUCGUGGCGAAGGCGGGUUCCUGGACAUUAACUGACGCUGAGGCACGAAGGCCAGGGGAGCGAAAAGGAUUAGAUACCCGAGUAGUC